AGAGUUUGAUCCUGGCUCAGGAUGAACGCUGACAGAAUGCUUAACACAUGCAAGUCGACUGGAAUUCUUCUUCGGAAGAUAGUACGGUGGCGGACGGGUGAGUAACGCGUAAAGAAUUUGCCCUUCAGACUGGGACAACUAACCGAAAGGUUAGCUAAUACCGGAUAUUAUGAGACCUUGGCAUCAAGGACUUAUGAAAGCUAUAUGCGCUGGAGGAGAACUUUGCGUCCCAUUAGGUAGUUGGUAGGGUAAUGGCCUACCAAGCCGACGAUGGGUAGCCGGCCUGAGAGGGCGAACGGCCACAAGGGGACUGAGACACGGCCCUUACUCCUACGGGAGGCAGCAGUGGGGAAUAUUGGACAAUGGACCAAAAGUCUGAUCCAGCAAUUCUGUGUGCACGAUGAAGGUCUUCGGAUUGUAAAGUGCUUUCAGGUGGGAAGAAGAAAGUGACGGUACCACCAGAAGAAGCGACGCUAAAUA
rnacentral:rRNA from 1 species